AGUGGUUGAAGACUACGACCUUGAUAGGCUGGAUGUGUAAGCACGGUAACGUGUUAAGCUGACCAGUACUAAAUACUCGUUUUGCUUUAUAUAUUUAAAAA
rnacentral:rRNA from 1 species